rnacentral:rRNA from 1 species
UACGUAGGGUGCAAGCGUUAAUCGGAAUUACUGGGCGUAAAGCGUGCGCAGGCGGUUUUGUAAGUCUGACGUGAAAUCCCCCGGGCUCAACCUGGGAAUUGCGUUGGAGACUGCAAGGCUGGAGUCUGGCAGAGGGGGGUAGAAUUCCACGUGUAGCAGUGAAAUGCGUAGAGAUGUGGAGGAACACCGGAUGGCGAAGGCAGCCCCCUGGGUCAAGACUGACGCUCAUGCACGAAAGGCGU